UAAGCCACAAGAUCAUUUAAAAGUCCACAGCAGCCCAUAAAAAUGCCCAUGACACUUGGAAAGGUGGAAUCCUCUAUCCGGUACCCUCCCCUUCGCCGGCCACCAAUCGACCCCAACACCCGCCGUUCCCCAUCUCCCACCGCGAUCCCUCUGGUCGCUGGCCGACGGAGAAUCGAGAAUACCGGAGCAAAGAGGAGGACACGAAAAAUUUCAUUAUCUCUGAUCAAGAGGAUUCCUUAGCUUCCGGACCACGAAUCGUCGCUUGCAUUCACCGCUCACCACCUCCAAUCGCUGCAGACUUCCAUGUUUUCCAGGUGCUGCCCACCAUUGAUCAGAAAAAAAAAACCGAAACAGAGCAGGUCUAUAAGCGUUUUCUUAGCCUAAUUCACCUUCUCCGACGUUCUCAGUUCACUGACAAUCAUCGCCCAUCGCCGUUCGACAUUGCCUAGCCGAAGUCGAACCAGCUCUCUUUGCCCCUGUUUCUCAGCGAAGGAGUCCAAAGUGUUCAGUUAUUGCUUGAGACUCCUCCAACGCCGAUAUUCAUCUCCAGCGUGUCUGGGACGUCCAGUUUCUGAUUUGCCCAUUCGCCGAGGCUAGAGUUCCGAUCUCGCCAAGAUUCAACUGCGAUUGACGUUCUACGGAUGAUCAGAACCUGUGGUGUUGCUGUUGUAAUAGUCUAGGUCUCAAGACUCUCAACUCUAAUGGCUUCUUCUUCACAGCCCAGACGAAAUUACGAUGUCUUCCUUAAUUUCAGAGGCAAAGACAUUGGCAACAACUUCGUGGGUCAUCUAUGCAAGGCCUUCUAUGGCCGGCUUAAUG